rnacentral:rRNA from 1 species
CGGAUGUUAGCGGCGGACGGGUGAGUAACACGUGGGUAACCUGCCUGUAAGACUGGGAUAACUCCGGGAAACCGGAGCUAAUACCGGAUAGUUCCUUGAACCGCAUGGUUCAAGGAUGAAAGACGGUUUCGGCUGUCACUUACAGAUGGACCCGCGGCGCAUUAGCUAGUUGGUGAGGUAACGGCUCACCAAGGCGACGAUGCGUAGCCGACCUGAGAGGGUGAUCGGCCACACUGGGACUGAGACACGGCCCAGACUCCUACGGGAGGCAGCAGUAGGGAAUCUUCCGCAAUGGACGAAAGUCUGACGGAGCAACGCCGCGUGAGUGAUGAAGGUUUUCGGAUCGUAAAGCUCUGUUGUUAGGGAAGAACAAGUGCAAGAGUAACUGCUUGCACCUUGACGGUACCUAACCAGAAAGCCACGGCUAACUACGUGCCAGCAGCCGCGGUAAUACGUAGGUGGCAAGCGUUGUCCGGAAUUAUUGGGCGUAAAGGGCUCGCAGGCGGUUUCUUAAGUCUGAUGGAGCAUGUGGUUUAAUUCGAAGCAACGCGAAGAACCUUACCAGGUCUUGACAUCCUCUGACAACCCUAGAGAUAGGGCUUUCCCUUCGGGGACAGAGUGACAGGUGGUGCAUGGUUGUCGUCAGCUCGUGUCGUGAGAUGUUGGGUUAAGUCCCGCAACGAGCGCAACCCUUGAUCUUAGUUGCCAGCAUUCAGUUGGGCACUCUAAGGUGACUGCCGGUGACAAACCGGAGGAAGGUGGGGAUGACGUCAAAUCAUCAUGCCCCUUAUGACCUGGGCUACACACGUGCUACAAUGGACAGAACAAAGGGCUGCGAGACCGCAAGGUUUAGCCAAUCCCACAAAUCUGUUCUCAGUUCGGAUCGCAGUCUGCAACUCGACUGCGUGAAGCUGGAAUCGCUAGUAAUCGCGGAUCAGCAUGCCGCGGUGAAUACGUUC